rnacentral:lncRNA from 1 species
AAGUGAAGUGCACAGAAUUUUGUUAUGGUGUUUAAGAUCAAUUGCUCGUUCUUCGAGCCAUCAGCUUCAAUGUGGAAUGAAUUGAAGAUCUGUAACAAGGCUUGGCCUACACCAUGGACGAACAGCGGACACCCAGAGAGCUAAAUGUCUCCUACCGGCUAAGACAAGGUGAGUCACUUCUCCCACAUUCCUACUCCACGGGAAAAGCCUCUCAUCUUCUGGGCCUGAGAGUCAGACUGACUCAAGUUGCUAUGGAGACCACAGGGGCCUGGGAACUGCUUAGAUAGUGGACAUUAACCAACCUCUGUCAUUUUAAUUAAGGGCAUCUAGAUUGUAAAGUAUUCUUCCCAGACUCCUAACUACAUUGACGGCUAAGCUAACUGCAGCUUGACAGUUAGAAACAGACCUCUAGCUCCUUCCCCCAGGGUGAUCCACCACCCUAUUAGCUGGUUAGACAGAUUUGCCUAACUCAUGGACUUGAUGAUAAAGGAUACACAAGUUCAGAUGCGAGCUUUCACAGACAUAACCUUCUGUUACUUCCUUACCUAAACUCAGCUUCCAGGGACUGUUUCGAAUUCCUUUCCCUUGUUAUGCCACUGUCCUAACAUUAAUAGAGUUCUUAUAAAUUAGCCUAACUCUAAUAAAAC